rnacentral:rRNA from 1 species
GACAGAGGUGCCGAGCGUUAGGCGGAAUCACUGGGCUUAAAGCGUGUGUAGGCGGGCGGGCAAGUACCUUGUGAAAUCCCACGGCUCAACCGUGGAACUGCUGGGUAUACUGCUCGUCUUGAGCCAAUCAGGGGCGAGCGGAACAGACGGUGGAGCGGUGAAAUGCGUAGAUAUGACAUAGAACACCAAUUGCGAAGGCAGCUCACUACACAAUUAUUGACGCUGAGGCACGAAAGCGUGGGGAUCAAACAGG